GUGAGGAAUAUUGCGCAAUGGAGGCAACUCUGACGCAGCCAUGCCGCGUGCAGGAAGAAGGCGCUACGCGUUGUAAACUGCUUUUAACCGGGAAGAAACCCCAGGACGUGUCCUGGGUUGACGGUACCGGAGGAAUAAGCACCGGCUAACUUCGUGCCAGCAGCCGCGGUAAUACGAAGGGUGCAAGCGUUAUCCGGAUUCAUUGGGUUUAAAGGGUGCGUAGGCGGAGCGUUAAGUCAGUGGUGAAAUCCUGCAGCUUAACUGUAGACUUGCCAUUGAUACUGGCGCUCUUGAGUGCGCUUGAAGUGGGCGGAAUGUGCCGUGUAGCGGUGAAAUGCUUAGAUAUGGCACAGAACACCAAUUGCGAAGGCAGCUCACUAAGGCGAUACUGACGCUGAGGCACGAAAGCAUGGGGAUCGAACAGGAUUAGAAACCCGGGUAGUCC
rnacentral:rRNA from 1 species